GCAUCCUUGCACUUCCUCUAUUAAAGUUCAAAUUCACACGCCUCCCAUUCCCUGUUCCCCAAUCAGUACUAAGGAAAAUUUUACAGGUACACCAUCAAGGAAAUCCAGAAUAAGAUGUCCACUCCCUCCCUGCUCCUCUGUUUUUUCUAGGUACACAGGUUUAUACGAUCAUAUUGAGUUUUAUCACAAAACUACAAUUGAUUAUGAACAGUUUGUGUUUCAAAACAUUAAAGAUUUUGAAUUGUGGAAAACGGACAUAGAGCGGAAAGAGUUUUCGCAUUAUGUAAAAUGCAAUUCAGGAUAUAAAUCAAAAACUGAUGACAAGACAAUUUAUUUCGAUUGCCACAGGUCAUAUACAAAUGACCAAAAACCCACUGUACGCUUGUUUACUAAAACGAGCAACAAAACCGGAUAUGCUUGCCCAUCAAGGAUUGGUUGUACUAUUAAUCACAAUGGAACAGUUCAUGUUGAAUUUUGGAAGACACAUGUGGGACACAGUCAAGAUAUAAAAUUUAUUUCGU